rnacentral:rRNA from 1 species
UACGUAGGGUGCAAGCGUUAAUCGGAAUUACUGGGCGUAAAGCGUGCGCAGGCGGUUUUGUAAGUCUGAUGUGAAAUCCCCGGGCUCAACCUGGGAAUUGCAUUGGAGACUGCAAGGCUAGAAUCUGGCAGAGGGGGGUAGAAUUCCACAUGUAGCAGUGAAAUGCGUAGAGAUGUGGAGGAACACCGAUGGCGAAGGCAGCCCCCUGGGUCAAGAUUGACGCUCAUGCACGAAAGCGUGGGGAGCAAACAGG